GAUGAACGCUAGCUACAGGCUUAACACAUGCAAGUCGAGCGACCGGCGCACGGGAGAGUAACACGUAUACAACCUGCCCUUUACUCGGGGAUAGCCUUUCGACAGAAAGAUUAAUACCCGAUAUAAAGGAUGGGGAUGCGUUCCAUUAGGUUGUUGGUGAGGUAACGGCUCACCAAGCAUUCGAUGGAUAGGGGUUCUGGGAGGAAGGACCCCCACAUUGAGACUGGGCCAAGGCUCAAACUCCUACGGGAGGCGGCAGGGAGGAAUAAUGGUCAGUGGGCGGUAGACUGAACCAGCCAAGUAGCGAGAAGGAUGAAGGCUUAUGGGUCGUAAACUUUGUGGAUAUAAGUAUCGGUAUUAUAUGAAUAAGGAUCGGCUAACUCCGUGCCAGCAGCCGCGGUAAUAC
rnacentral:rRNA from 1 species